UUUAUUCAAAACACCACUGUUUUCCAAGUUUUGGAUCAGUAGAUCUCUGAGUUCCGUGUCCUCUUCUGUCGCAGACAUCUUCAAUUUGCGUCAUGUGACUUUGGCUGGAAACCAGCGCACUCUGGCGGCUGUCGACGGAAGCAAAAUUGGUGAGAGAAGGCAGAAGGGAUCCGGAAAAUUCCACGAGCCUGGACUUGAACCUAAGAUUCUUUGUACGCAACUGCACCAGAGAUGAAGCCACAUGUCUGUUGGCGCUUACCAUAUGAGGGAGCUGGAUGUUAGCGAGGCUGUUGAUGAGGGACUGGCUGAGGUUGGCGAGCUCAUGCAGCAGCGAGUCAUUCUGCUGUUCUAUGGCCUUGUUUUCC